UAAAAUCCCAAAACUCGAUUAUUUAAAUUUUUGGAUCGUUUGACGCUAAAAUCGAUAUUGCGAUCAAAAUUCGAUUAAUCGCCCAGCCCUACGGUGUGGUCACAGGCUGUGGGUUAAAGCCUGACUUAUAGGUGUCGUCACAGGUUGUGGUGUUGAGGCCUGAUGGUGUAGGUGUAGUCACAGGUUGUGGUGUUGAGGCCUGAUGGUGUAGGUGUAGUCACAGGUUGUGGUGUUGAGGCCUGAUGGUGUAGGGGUAUCCACAGGCUGUGGUGUUUAAGGCUCACCGAUGUACAGGUUGGACUUGUAUUCCACGUUAUGGUUCUUAACAGCCAUGUCCUGAGCUUCUAGAAGCACCUAGAGAUGAAGAC